UUAACCAAAUGCAACACAUGCAGGUGUGACAUGACAUGAAGUCGUCCACACACCAGCAGAACCCUCAGUCCUGUCGUAUCUCAUCAUCUCUUACCGUAGUAACCCACACACCUGUUUCUGGUGAUUUCAGCUGCAGUGAUGUUUGGUGAUGAAAGAUCAAUACGGCACAUUGAGGACGCAAGAUUCCAUUUUCGGACCCCUUAUCUUCAUCUGCCUCCACCAGUGUUGCCAUGACUACAGCCACCCUGGCCAUCUUCCUCCCUGCGCUUCAGCUUUUCAUAAAAACAUGCGGAAUGAAACUGAUGCGUCAGGCGCUUGUCAGAUAAGUCAGCGUGAACGACCAUAGACAUACACAAAGACAUAGAUACGUCAUCAGCGGCUGUUUCUACGGGCAGUCGUCCGCCAUAUUGGAACGGUCCAAGGAGAUCUUCCCCAAGUCUGCGGGCAUGCGGCGAUCACUUUAAAACUAGCUUCCUGCGGAUUAAAGGGUUCACGAACCAGAGGGUGCGCAAUGUCCCAGUACGUUGUAUCCUGGAAAACUGCGAGUGACGUCUGCAACUGGACCUUUCCAAAAUGGCGGACGCGUCUACAUGUGGAGCGGCCGAAUGACGCAUCUAUGUACACAUAUCUAUGUGAAUUGCACUACCAAAGCAAAAAUGGCCGUCACAUGUGCAUCACUUCAAAAUAAAAGACCCACCUUCCUCCCAGAGAUAAUGGCUGCCAUCUAGCCAACACUUCAAAAUAAGGGUUUAAAAAAUAAAACACAGAGGCUUUUCAAAAUAUAGUACUUAAACUACUGGAAGAGGUAGAUGUUAUUUUUUAUUUCAGCAAAAAAAAAGUAAACAUGUUAUAAGAAAAGCAUGCUUUUCGAACUGUACUAUUUGAAAUGCAAAUGUAAAGACAAACAAACAUAACUUUUUCAUGUUUUCAACAUUAAAUG